rnacentral:rRNA from 1 species
UACGGGGGGGGCAAGCGUUGUUCGGAAUUACUGGGCGUAAAGGGCGUGUAGGCGGCCAUCUCAGUCAGACGUGAAAUCCCCCGGCUCAACCUGGGAACUGCGUCUGAUACUGGAUGGCUCGAAUCCGGGAGAGGGAUGCGGAAUUCCAGGUGUAGCGGUGAAAUGACGUAGAUAUCUGGAGGAACACCGGUGGCGAAGGCGGCAUCCUGGACCGGUAUUGACGCUUAAGCGCGAAAGCCAGGGGAGCAAACGGG